CCUGUACGAGCUGGAGUGCACGUUCUAAUAACAAUCACUAGUUUUAAGUGGGGCGAAGCCGAAGCUAAAGUCGCACGUUUCUUUCUUUUUCGUUCUUCUUUUUCUUUUUUCUUUUUCUUUUUCUUCUUCUUCUUCUGCUUCUUCUUCAAACUUUCUUGUAUUGUUGAUGUUUUGUUUUACGGAUUUUCACAUGGGUUUACACUUUCAUGGUUGUUUCCACGCAAUCUAGACUUAUUUUCGAAAACGUGGUUGAAAAUUAUGUUAGGUGUUUUUCUCACACUAUGCAUUUUGCGUUUGCAUGGUGCAUCUGUUGUUGAUACAGACAAAGUGUCAGUGAUGGAGGGUGAUUCAGUCACCCUAAACACUGAUGUUAAAACAAAACAAGAAGACAGAAUUAUGUGGUAUUUUAAUGAUGUUCGUAUCGCUCUGAUCACUGGAAACCACAGUAAGAUCUGUACAGAUGCUGAGUGUCCUGAGAGAUUCAGUGACAGACUGAAGCUGGAUCAUGAGACUGGAUCUCUGACCAUCACAAACAUCAACACCACAGACUCUGGAGUUUAUCAUCUACAGAUCAACAACCGCAACCAUGAAAGGGUCUUCAGUCUUGCUGUUCAUGCUGCUGGUUUGUGUUUCAGAUGCUCCUGCCACCGAACAAGAUGAUGUGAAGUCAGUGCAGGAGGGAGAAUCUGUCACUUUAGAUCCUGGUGUAACAAACAACCCAGAUGAUUCCAUCACGUGGCUUUUUAAUGAUGUCCGCAUUGCUGAAGUCAGUGAAGAUCCCAAUAAGACCUGCACAGGUGUUCAGUGUAAAGAGGGUGAUGGGAGAUUUGAAGACAGACUGGAGGUUAAUCAGACUGGUUUUCUGACUGUCACAAACAUCAAACUCAUCAGACUCUGGAGUUUAUCAACUACAGAUCAUCAGCAGCAGCUUCAGUAUUAAAAGGAUUAGAAGUUUUAGUGUUACUGUCACUGGUUCAGGUCUGUCUCCAGCUGGUGUAGCAGGAAUAUGUGCUGUAUUUAUUCUGCUCAUGGCUGCAGCUGCUGGUGUGAUUUGCUGUCUUACGCAAGAGCAAAGCAGUGGUACGGAGCAAACUCUCACUCAGGCUAGGUCUUAAAGGCACGCCCCAUUAAAAGACUGAGACUGAAACACUGAAACACCACCAUGGCAUUAUUUAUUAUUUUAUACCUCACCAAAAUAGCUAUAAUGACAAGGAAUGUAUCUGUAUGGUCACAUACAAUCCUACAAGGUCUUGUACUGCAAGACACAAGUGCCUUUCACAUAGUGUAGUUGCAAUUACUGGUUAUGUUAUUUGUUGUAUUGACAUCUCACUGUUAUUACAUAUUAUCAUAGAAUGUUAGAAUGUUACAGUUAGUUGUUUAGCAGUCACGUACCUCAUAUACACAUAUAAUUUGAUUGGAAAAUUUGUAUUAAAAAUCCAGGAAAUUAGGAAAAACUUUGUAGUAAAGCACAAUAUCCAUGCGAUUAUGUGCAAUGCUAGGUGAGAUGUACACAAGUUGCAUAGUGCGUUCGUCCAAUCAAUGUCGCUGACACCUUAACUAUGCAAAUAAGUACGCUAACCUUUGGUUAAGGACUGUGUAGUGUGAAACGUAAGCUUUUGAAUAACCAGGAUUGAAGUGCUCGGCACAGUACAAGUCAGUGGUACUUUUGAUUUGUACUUUUUUGUGAAUUACAAUGGAGUUGUAGUGUCAUCUUGCCUGAAACAUUUUGUGAUAUUUUAAAAGCUGUGAUAUUUUAUAAAGUAGUGAGUGAGAAGGAAGAUUAUCACCUGUGGGGCUUUAAAGGUGAACAUCCUGUUCACAAAACAUGUUUAUUGUGAUACUAUGCAUUACAUUAUCACUGUGUGAUAUAUAUUUGCCUUCACCUGGGGGGCUUAGUGUGUAAUAUACGGGUGUUACCAUUGCUCAAAUCAAUAAGAACUGGACAUGGAUGUUUCACCAACACAAAUGUUUCAGUGAUUUUGGUAAACUGUUUGAAUGUUAAUGAUGUGUAUUUAAAGAGCUUUUAUUUUGUGGGUAAAAAAGGCAAAUCAUGUGCCUUUCCUUUAACUUUGUGUCAGCGAAUGUUAAAAAAAGUGCUUUAAAGUUGAGCCUGUAUAACAGUGUUGUCUUUCUGAAACAUGCAUACGUAAAUAAAUAAAA